CUAUUUUAUAAUAUUGGUUUAUAGCGCCAAAUAAUUUGAAUUAGUUAUCAAGUACAUAAAAGUGAUAAGGAGAAAAAGGUUAAAUAGGCAAUCACAUAAAUUUUGGAGCGCUAUGACGCCUGCAGGUUUCUUCAGAAUGUCCCGAAUUCUCGGGACAAGCACGGGUUCAAUAAAAAAAAUAUUUAAAGACGACAUUGGGUGUACCCAAUUAAUUUAAAAAGAUUUCAAGAAUGAUAAUUUAUUGUAAAUUGUAUGGCACUGCGAGCAUACCCCGAAGAGUUUAUAAAAUAGUUUGUUCGUAGGUACUUGUAAAUAAUCAAAUUGCGUGUCAAUAAAUUAAAAUAUUUAAUAAAAAGAUGUAUUAAUAAUCGGGUCAAUGAUAAAGACAGAAACUUAAAUGCAGAACCACCGCGGUCAGAACAUUGAAUCCCGGAUCAUUUGUG